CAGUAGCCACGGGAAUACGUAGGGGGCAAGCGUUAUCCGGAAUUACUGGGUGUAAAGGGAGCGUAGACGGUUAAACAAGUCUGAAGUGAAAUGCCGGGGCUCAACCCCGGAGCUGCUUUGGGAACUGUAGAACUGGAGUGUCGGAGGGGUAAGCGGAAUUCCCAGUGUAGCGGUGAAAUGCGUAGAUAUUGGGAGGAACACCGGCGGCGAAGGCGGCUUACUGGACGACAACUGACGUUGAGGCUCGAAGGCGUGGGUAGCAAACAGGAUUAGAUACCCGCGUAGUCCCUGUCUCUUAUAC
rnacentral:rRNA from 1 species